AGAGGUGGUGGCAGGUGUGUGGAUGACAACACCUACUUACACUGAAAACCAACCAACCACUCGGCCACACAUGUAAAAACUACUCAGCCUCUAUGCAAUCUAUCCCCUUUGACAAGCCCGUACUGGCCUCUUGGUGUCUGUCCACUUCUACCUGGUAAGUUGGCCCUUCAGGAACUACACCUGGCCAAAUUACAGGCUGAAAGAUUAUGAUAGAAAUGUCAUUAAUUCAAGCUAUGCAUUCCCACUGACUCAGCUGUGCCCUUCACAGCUGUAACUGAUAAAGGUCUGGACGUGCAGUUCACAGCAGAGGAGAGAGACUGUGGCUGCUCUGGACACAUCUGGACGACAGGCACCCAGCCCUCAAGAUGCUGUCUGCCAGCUAGGUGGAAACACCUCAUGUGAAUGGGCCCAUUUGCUUCCUCUCCACUCCAAAAGGGGAUGAGAAGAGGAAUGUUGAAAUCUCAAUAUACCACAGGCAGCUAACAGCUCAGGAGAGGAUCGUGCUCCAAAUGUUCAUCGAGCCAAUUAUUGGGACUUCUCUGCCAGGUUCCCAGGGAAGAAUGUUGUAAAUGAUGGCUGGGUGCCAUGGCUAAUCCAAAAUGAACAGAAUCGCUAUCUCCUCAGAGCCUGGGUCCCUAGGGCCUGACCGACAUCCAAGGUGCCUGGGACACAGCCAGUGAGGGGCAUCUGGAGCCCUGUGCGGUGAAGUAGCAGGCAGUCAAGGAUACUGAAAGGUGUGCAGGCUGUCCCAGGCCCCACGCCCAGAAGGCCAUUCAGAGACCAAAGAACAUGACCAGCUCCAAAAUGAAGAUAAAAACUACGGUUCAGCUAUGAAUGUUUUCCGUCUAAACACUCAACACCAUACUACUACUUUGUGCUGUUUACAAUUUCCUAGCCUGCUAUUAAAUAAAAGGUUCCAUAAAAGGGGGCAACAGCCCAGAAAACAAACCAUAUUGUUGAAGUUGAACCUCUGCCCAUCCCAGAAAACCAGCUUGCUGGAGAAACCUGUGCCAUGUCCCACUGCAGCCUGGGGGUGCCACGGUGUGUGUCUGGUGUCUAUGCAUACUGUAUUCCUAGCACCUCAGGGCACUGGGCAUCUAACAAGAGCCCAGGGACUAGAGACAGGUUCCCGCAUCUCUCUCACGGAUGCACUUGCUGUUGCUAGCUCAUGUGGCCUCCUGACCCUCGAUUUCUUCUAUCAAUACACUAGGCUUUCUCUGCCAGGAAUACCUUGUUCUCCAAGGCACUCCAUCUGGCUAAAAUCUUUCCUUCAAAAGGCUUUCCGUGUGUCCUCCAUUUUUGCUAAUUUCAAGCCUGCCUUGGGUGGCUUUCCCAACUGUUGCUGUGGCCAGAAUUUGCCUUAUCACAAUCACAGGGUGUCUACUUAAUGCUGAGAAACUAGAUGCUUUCCCCCUGCAUCUGGAACAAGACAAGCAUAUUCUUACCACUCUUUUUCAAUCAUACUUCAAGUCCGAACUAAUGUAAUAAGACAAGAAAAGGAAAUGAGAGAGGCACAGAUUGGGAAGGAAGAAAUAAAACUGCCUUUGUGGGGGCUGCGUGCGGUGGCUCACGCCUGUAAUCGCAGCACUUUGGGAGGCCGAGGCAGGUGACCUGAGGUCAGGAGUUCAAGACCAGCCUGGCCAACAUAGUGAAACUCUGUCUCUACUAAAAAUACAAAAAUUAGCCAGGCAUAGUGGCACACGCCUGUAAUCCCAGCUAUUCGGAAGACUGAGGCAGGAGAAUUGCUUGAACCCGGCAAGUGGAGGUUGCAGUGAGCUGAGAUUGUGCCACUGCACUCCAGCCUGGGCAACAAAGGCGAAACUCAGUCUCCAAAAAAACCUGUCUUUGUUCACAGAUAUGAUUGUUUAGGUAAAGAAUUCUGGCCAGGCACAUCACAAGGCCAGGAGAUCAAGACCAUCCUGGCCAACAUGGUGAUAUCCCGUCUCUACUAAAAAUACAAAAAUUAGCUGGGGGUGGUGGCACACGCCUGUAGUCCCAGCUACUCAGGAGGCUGAGGCAGGAGAAUCGCUUGAACCCGGGAGAGAGAGGUUGCAGUGAGCCAAGAUCGUGCCACUGCACUCCAGCCUGGCAACAGAGCGAGACUCCAUCUC